UACGUAGGCAGCGAGCGUUGUUCGGAAUUACUGGGCGUAAAGAGUGUGUAGGCGGUGCUCCCAGUCUGUUGUGAAAUCUCCCGGCUUAACUGGGAGGGUGCAGCGGAAACUAGAGUGCUAGAGGGUGGGAGAGGUAAGCGGAAUUCCUGGUGUAGCGGUGAAAUGCGUAGAUAUCAGGAGGAACACCUGUGGUGUAGACAGCUUACUGGACCACUUCUGACGCUGAGACACGAAAGCGUGGGUAGCAAACAGGAUUAGAUACCCUGGUAGUCCACGCCCUAAACGAUGCAUACUUGGUGUGAGCGAUUCAUUUCGUUCGUGCCGGAGCUAACGCGUUAAGUAUGCCGCCUGGGGAGUACGGUCGCAAGGCUGAA
rnacentral:rRNA from 1 species